CACUACACUCACAGCAUUCCUUGUAUAAGUUUGAGAAUAUGGCUCAAGCGUUUCUACAAAGCUACCGUAAAUAGCUUAACUACAAGGGAUUACGUUUAUUUA
rnacentral:ncRNA from 2 species